AGUAUAGUUCAUACAAAAUUACUUCUCAUUUCAACUCUGUAGGUCAACUGUCAUGUGAAAAUUACGGUUCACCUUUAGAAUAAGAACUAAAAUCGUACUUUUGACAUGAUAUUUGACACAUAAAUUUAAAAUUGACGCGUGAGAACUCAUUUUUUACGCACUAUAGUCAUUAUUUAUAAUUUUAAAAAUGUGAUAUUUAUGUGGUUAUAUU